rnacentral:rRNA from 1 species
AGUGAGCGCUGGCGGUAGGCCUAACACAUGCAAGUCGAACGGCAGCACAGUAAGAGCUUGCUCUUACGGGUGGCGAGUGGCGGACGGGUGAGGAAUACAUCGGAAUCUACUUUUUCGUGGGGGAUAACGUAGGGAAACUUACGCUAAUACCGCAUACGACCUACGGGUGAAAGCAGGGGAUCUUCGGACCUUGCGCGAUUGAAUGAGCCGAUGUCGGAUUAGCUAGUUGGCGGGGUAAAGGCCCACCAAGGCGACGAUCCGUAGCUGGUCUGAGAGGAUGAGCAGCCACACUGGAACUGAGACACGGUCCAGACUCCUACGGGAGGCAGCAGUGGGGAAUAUUGGACAAGGGGCGCAAGCCUGAUCCAGCCAUACCGCGUGGGUGAAGAAGGCCUUGGGGUUGUAAAUCCAUUUUGUUGGUAAAGAAAAGCAGCAGGUUAAUACCGCGCUGUUCUGACGGUACCCAAAGAAUAAGCACCGGCUAACUUCGUG